rnacentral:rRNA from 1 species
UACAGAGGGUGCAAGCGUUGUUCGGAAUUAUUGGGCGUAAAGGGCGCGUAGGCGGUGCUGUAAGUCUGUGGUGAAUUCUCUGGGCUCAACUCAGAGUCUGCCAUAGAAACUGCAGUGCUGGAGUGUGGGAGAGGUGAGUGGAAUUCCCGGUGUAGCGGUGAAAUGCGUAGACAUCGGGAGGAACACCUGUGGCGAAAGCGGCUCACUGGACCACAACUGACGCUGAGGCGCGAAAGCUAGGGGAGCAAACAGG